rnacentral:rRNA from 1 species
GACGAACGCUGGCGGCGCGCCUAACACAUGCAAGUCGAACGGAGUCAAGAGGAGCUUGCUUUUCUUGACUUAGUGGCGAACGGGUGAGUAACGCGUGAGUAACCUGCCCUGGAGUGGGGGACAACAGUUGGAAACGACUGCUAAUACCGCAUAAGCCCACGGAUCCGCAUGGAUCUGCGGGAAAAGGAUUUAUUCGCUUCAGGAUGGACUCGCGUCCAAUUAGCUAGUUGGUGAGGUAACGGCCCACCAAGGCGACGAUUGGUAGCCGGACUGAGAGGUUGAACGGCCACAUUGGGACUGAGACACGGCCCAGACUCCUACGGGAGGCAGCAGUGGGGGAUAUUGCACAAUGGGGGAAAACCUGAUGCAGCGACGCCGCGUGGAGGAAGAAGGUUUUCGGAUUGUAAACUCCUGUCGUUAGGGACGAUAAUGACGGUACCUAACAAGAAAGCACCGGCUAACUACGUG